GAUGAAGAACGUAGCGAAAUGCGAUAAGUAAUGCGAAUUGCAGAAUUCCAGUGAGUCAUCGAAUCUUUGAACGCACAUUGCGCCCUUUGGUAUUCCGAAGGGCAUGCCUGUUCGAGCGUCAUUAUCACCCCUCAAGCCCUCGGCUUGGUGUUGGACGGUUUGGUGGAGGCCCCCUCGGGGGUUCCUGCCCCUCCCAAAGACAAUGACGGCGGCCUCGUUGGACCCCCGGUACACUGAGUUCUUCACGGGACACGUAUCGGACACAUGGGUUUACGGGACACGGUCUGCCUCCCCUCAGGGAGAAUCUUUCUAAGGUUGACCUCGGAUCAGGUAGGGAUACCCGCUGAACUUAAGCAUAUCAAUAAGCGGAGG
rnacentral:misc_RNA from 1 species